UACGAACCGUACAAACGUUAUUCGGAAUCACUGGGCUUAAAGGGUGCGUAGGCGGCCAUGUAAGUGAGGUGUGAAAUCCCUCGGCUCAACCGAGGAACUGCGCUUCAUACUGCAUGGCUUGAGGGAGACAGGGGUAAGCGGAACUGAUGGUGGAGCGGUGAAAUGCGUUGAUAUCAUCAGGAACACCGGUGGCGAAAGCGGCUUACUGGUCUCUUCUGACGCUGAGGUACGAAAGCUAGGUAGCGAACGGGAGUUAGAAACCCCGGAUAGUCCCAGUACGA
rnacentral:rRNA from 1 species